ACUCCCCGACCCGUCCCCAACCUAACCCGCCUCCUACCGCCGGAUGCAGCCAUCAUGGGCGAGCGAGCGACGGCGUAGCCGGAGCGAGGGAGCCCGCGGCGCCGUGACAGGUAGCUCCUCCGACCCACGCGCUGCCGCCGGCUGGCCGUCCGCACGCCUCCCCGCCGACGGGCUCGCCGGCCCCUCCCCACGCGCCUUCCCUCCGACGGGCGCCGCUCCCUCCGCGCACACCUCCCCGUCGACGGGUGCCGGAUCCUCCCCGCACGCCUCCCCUCCGACGGGCUCGCCGGCCCCUUCCCGCGCGCCUCCCCUCUUACGGGCGCCGGCGCCUCCGCGCCGACGGGCGCUGGCCCGUCACCGUCCGCCUCCCCGCUGGCGUUACUCGUCCCCUCCCCAUGCGCCUCCCCGCGGGCGUUCGCCGGCCCCUACCCGUGAGUCUCCUUGCCGCCGGGCCCUCCCCGUGAAGCUCCCCGCCGCCAUCGACGCCAACUGCUGCCCGCAAACGGGAUGGAUUCAAUGCCCGCUGCCGGAUCCAGCGCCCCCCACCACCAUCUCCCGAUUCACUGCCUGCCGCGCAUGGCGUCGCCCUUCCUUCCUUCCUCUUAAUCUUCUCUGUCAGCCGGCAGUGGCAUCCCAUGUGCUGCAGCUUCCAGCGUCGUCCUCUGCCUUGUCGGCGCACAAGCCGUUCGCCUCAGCCACCCCAGUCCGUUCACAAUUUCCAGCAGAGUCCGUUCAACACUAGUGUGCAGCUACCCGCCUCCUGGAUUUAGUUUUUUUACAUGCUCAAAUGGGAAGCCUGUCUUUGUAUCAGGCUACUCUUCUUACAAACACCUGAACCGAACUCAAUCUCGUGUGUUACCGUCCUCUCAUCUUGUCUGUUUUAUUCUCAGGGACGCAUUCAUGGCUUCAUUCAACAAUUGGACUGUGGGCAGAUGUUGAUCAACAAGUCAGCUAAGGGACUAGGACGCCCUCCUCGCCGCGGCGUCAUUGCUGGCCGUCUGCGGCGGAAGCGGGGUGGCGGCCGGGACCUUGUCGUGCUCGUCUCCGACUACUGUCAAGGAACCUGACAUUAAAAUGAAUCAUCUACAGGCUGGAACAUGGAGCUUGCAGCUUAUGUUUAUUGUAGUUUGAACUUAGGCUCGUCUCUCUCUUGUACUUCAGUUAUUCUUCAGUUUUCAGUAUUGGUGUAGUCUGUAUGGUGAAGAUGAAGUUCCUUUUUGAACUUCUCCGGUUAAUAUAGAUGAACUUGGUCAUAUUUUUUAUAUGUACUUACAUCAGCUCAUCCAGUUGUUCAUGUACUUGUAAUACUAAUCAGUUCAGAUCUUAGAGAAAAAAAUACAGAAGUUCAAAGUCGAUAAAAAGGGGGAUGUUAUUUCUUUGUUGUUAUUUUUUUGCAAGCAGAUGCGACAGACAGAGGCAAGAUGCAAAGUGUGCUAUUUGUUAGAUGUUCAGUACAGAUUUUUCUCUAAGAAAAAAGCAGCAGGAGGCAACAGUUUUGAAUGUGCUAGUUGUAAGUCACUUAGUUGUUAGAUGGUCAUUUCAGAUUUUUGUAGAUGCAACAACUAGUUUGUUUUCUUGUGCUAGUUGAACUAGUCUUGGUUCAUAUAUUUCUCUGAGAAAAAAAAGUAGCAAGAGGCGGCAGUAUUGAAUGAUCUUUGUUAGAUGUUCUGUAAAUAUUAUGGAAUUUUCUGUGGGACACACCUGAACUGAAGUUGUUACCCACAAAAAGAAACUUCAACUUGUUUGAACAUAUACUGGUUAGGUUAAUUAUCAUUACUAUAGCUCUCUGCUAUCCCAUUUGCAUACCCUAUAAUCAAUGAACGAUGUGCGCAUACUUCUGAAUUGUCUUGCCACCGUGGCCGAGUUAGCUUCAACCUGUGUAGUUUAGUCGCCAUAUCUGUGAUGCAUCCGCAGUUAGUUGACCACAACUUGUACAAUUAAAUGCCACCUCUGGUUUCAGGUUUCUUCGUUGUUGUAAGGCUUGUGAAAUAUCUUACCACUGAGGUUGUGGUGCCUUUUUCUUUCAGUAAAAAUUCAGGUUGGGAAGCUUAUUUUUUUCCCAAAGUGAUUGUUUGGGUACUACAAGCUCCCACAGAGUGGAAGCGGUUGUUACAACAGGUUUGAAGUAGAUAUUACACAAGGUUUGAUUUUUCUAGACCAUGUACAAGAACAGUAGCGUACUUAUGCAGUGGUCUGCCUUUUCUUAACUUUAUUUGAUUUUUUUCGUGAAAUAUAUAAAAGCCAGUAGCAGUACUAUUACUUAUUUUACAACAGGUCAUUGACUUAAACUAUAUCAGUUUAGCACAUGUACUUACAAAAACAAAUCAACAGGUUUGUAGGUUUUUUCAGCUCAUCUUGUUGGCUUUUUUGGUUCAUAUUGCAGGCUUUUAGGAUUAGAUUCUCAUGUCUGUUUCAGUAUUAGGGAGAAGUAAAACCAUUCAUUUCUUGUAUAUUUAUUAUUACUGUAGUACUAGCUACUCCGUUCUAGUAGCAUACGGAGUAUGUGAUCAGCUCAUGCAGUAUAUACUAUGCACAAAAUGUCUGUACGGUGCUUUACAUACAAAGAACUUGCUUUCUCUAGACCAUGCAAGCUUCCUCAAAGGAGCUUCCUCAAAGAAGCUUCCUCAAAGGAGCUUUCUCUAGACUUGCCAAUUUAAAAAAAAUGAAGUUCCUGUUUCAGGAUUAUGUAAGUUCAAAAUUAUUGUAUGAUAUGUGUGCCAUGGUUAUCUGGACUUCAAUUCUGACUAAUAUUCCAUUAUAGUACUACUGCAUAUUCACUUCUGAUUGCUUCUUGCUGCCACUAUUUUUAUCAUGAUUUUGUGUGUCCAUCCAGGAGUGUUUUUGUUUCUGUAGGUCAGCUGCUCAACAACAGAA